GUGGGGAAUAUUGGACAAUGGGCGCAAGCCUGAUCCAGCCAUGCCGCGUGAGUGAUGAAGGCCUUAGGGUUGUAAAGCUCUUUUGUCCGGGAAGAUAAUGACUGUACCGGAAGAAUAAGCCCCGGCUAACUUCGUGCCAGCAGCCGCGGUAAUACGAAGGGGGCUAGCGUUGCUCGGAAUCACUGGGCGUAAAGGGCGCGUAGGCGGACUUUUAAGUCGGAGGUGAAAGCCCAGGGCUCAACCCUGGAAUUGCCUUCGAUACUGGGAGUCUUGAGUUCGGAAGAGGUUGGUGGAACUGCGAGUGUAGAGGUGAAAUUCGUAGAUAUUCGCAAGAACACCGGUGGCGAAGGCGGCCAACUGGUCCGAAACUGACGCUGAGGCGCGAAAGCGUGGGGAGCAAACAGGAUUAGAAACCCGUGUAGUCC
rnacentral:rRNA from 1 species